rnacentral:lncRNA from 1 species
AUUACGAUAUUACUCGUGAUUUUAAUUACAGCAUUAUAAAAUAACCUAAAAUUCUUUUGUAAGAAUGAAAACAAGCUAUCACGUUUGUAUAUAAAAUCUCAAGUGAAUGCAGCCAAAAGCCCAAAACAUUUGCUAUAUUUCAAUAGUUUCAAUUUUUCUAUGAAAGAAAUUAGAAGUGUCGAGAAAGCUCUUACAAUAAUUGAGAACCCCAUCAACGUUUCAAUCUCAUCCGUAACGUCCCUUUCUCUGUGUGGGAGUGGCAAAUGAUGACAAUACAUGCCGCCGCAAAGUUAACAAAAGUUGGAAUAAAGUUAGAAAAAGAAAAAUAAAAGAAGUCUUCUUAUGGAGUGGAUGCGGACCCAAAUUAAAUUAUAUCUUCUUAUUUAUGAGCACUGUUUUGUUAAAAACAAAAAUUAAUAGAUGUUAUGAGUAAAUAAAUAAAUUUUAGACUAAGACAAAAUAUCUCUAAUGCCAUGUUGAUAGCCAUGUAGCUUAUUAUUGAUAAAUUUUUUGUUGUUGAUUGAAUUUAUUUACAAACUUAUCACCUCUAUUUAUACUUGUUUAAUGGGCAAUUAAAUGACUUAAACUUUAAAUGGGGGAUUCUUUCAAAUGGUGAAAGUUCACCAAAUUUACAGCAACAGAAAUUUAAUUGAAAAAAUAAAUAAAUUGAUUAGAAAGAAGGCAAAAUUAAGAAGUCAAACAGAAAAUUAAUAGCUUACACUGGAAGCAUCAAUAAAAUGUGUGGUUGAUAAUACAGAAAUCAAAUUGAUAACAAAAAUUGGCAUUGUUGGUCAAAGUUAUAAGCCCAACUACUAUUGUCUAGUUUUUAUAGAAAAUAUCAUAGAUGUAUCUAACUUAAAUAAUUUCUUUUAAAAAAAUUAAAUUAUUAAUUGAAAAUAUUAAGGGUUCGCUUGGGAUAACUUCUUGGAAAGGGAUUUUAUGCAAGUAGAGAUUCAAACUAGUAUAACUUUGGAGAAAAAAAAAACGAAGAUGAUGACGAAGAUGAUGAAAUUAUUGGUUUUCCUUCAGAAGAAAUUUUUAUUAUCUAGGAAUUUUAUUCUGUAAAUAUAAUAUCGUUAUUUCUUAUAUAUUUUUUCUCAUUAUCGCAAUUGAUUAGACUUUUUUAAAAAAAAAGAUAAUUAAUAAACUAAAAUUUUGUUGUUAUUAUGAAAAGAUUAAAUUUUAUGUGGAUGUUUAUCAAGUAUACUUUUUAUGUGCCCACAAACAACCUUUAAUUUUCCUAUAGCUCCCAUUAUCUUCUUAAUUUAAGAUUAUUAUUUUUUAUAUUUGUGAUAUUUAUUCACUACUUUAUAGUUGUAUUACUAUAAAAGGAGGCAUUUGCUCCUUAUUUAUAUAUACUUGAGAAUGAAUAAAAGUGAUUUUCAUUUUCGCAUUUCAUACAACAUCCUUCAAUGUCUCCCAUGCUCUAUCAGAAUACGUUUUCAGCACAACUGACUCAAUUAAACCUAAUACAAAACAACAAUAAUACUUAAGAAAAAAUACUUUAAAAAACAAUAUUGUUACAUUAAUUAAAUAUGUAAUUGUUUACAAACUUGAGUUGCAACAACACCUGUCACCCAGAUCGCAUGCGAUUGUAUGUUGCAUGUCGCGAGCACCAAUAGUCUAACAUAAAAUGUUAUAAUCCGAGUGCCAGGCAAGAGGCCAUCGUAAAUUUGUACAACACCUAGGUGAUGAGCACUUGUUGCCCAAGUUUUAGAUUUCAUCUUCAAUAUCAUUGAACACCCAAUUUUUUCAGAAUUCUAUUAAUUAUGAAUGUAUGAACUCAUAUUAACCAUUUAAUCUACCGAUAUUGUAACAAAAUAAACAAGAAUAUCCUUUUGUACCAAACCCGCCAAAAAAAAAAAAUAUUGAAGAGUUACUAAUCUUAACUUCUUGUUACUCUUAACAUUGUUGAUUGAUUUUUUUCGUCAAUGCUUAGAUAAAUAUUAUAGUUUGAUAAAUGUGGGUUGAGUGAUAUUUGGAUUAAUUUUUUUUUUUUUUUUUUUUUUUUUGUUGAUGAAUGUGAGAAAUGGAGAGAGUUGCAUUGGAGUGUGAAGAUGGAGUAUGGCUAUUGCACUUAAGGUUUUGGGCUGAGUUUUGUUUGCUUUACGUUUUAGGGGUAUUAUGAUUCAAAUGGAUUGUAAAUGGUUGACAUAAUAAGAAAAAUGGAUGGAGGUGUGGGCUGUAUUAAAAGUGAAAGUUAGAAAGGGGUGAAAGUGGUAAAUUUUUCAAUUUUUUUCAAACAUACUUAGAGAUGGCCAAUGGGGCAGGCAACAUGAGGCACGACACGGGCACAAUACGACAUAAGCACGUUUCGGUAGGGCACGCGGCAUGGCACGGCACGUACGUGGGCUAUGUCAGGCCUAAAAUUUUAGGCACGUGGGCCUUAAAAGCACGGCACGAUUAGAGAUGGGCCAAAGUACGGCACGCGAAAAGGCACGUGAUAAGCACGCUUCAUUGGUGGGUUAAGCACGUGGCCCGUGGGCCAAAGUAUAUCAAAGUAAAAUUUUUUAAUGAAAAAUAAAUAUAAAAUAUCAUGAUUUUACAAAUAUCUGGAAAUUAAAAUUUUUAAUAUAUUUUGUUGUCAUAGACUUU